rnacentral:lncRNA from 1 species
AAAAAUGGUUAAAAAUUGACUAUAAAGGGCAAUAACUCCUUAAGGGGUCAACUGACCAUUUUGGUCAUGUUGACUUAUUUGUAAAUCUAACUUUACUGAACAUUAUUCCUGUUUACAGUUUAUCUCUAUCUAUAAUAAUAUUCAAGAUAAUAACCAAAAACGGCAAAAAUUUCCUAAAAUUACCAAUUCAGGGGCAGCAACCCAACAACAGGUUGACCGAUUCAUCUGAAAAUUUCAGGGCAGAUAGAUCUUGACCUGAUAAACAUUUUUACCCCACAUCAGAUUUCCUCUAAAUGCUUUGGUUUUUGAGUUAUAAGCCAAAAACUGCAUUUUACCCCUAUGUUCUAUUUUUAGCCGUGGCGGCCAUCUUGAUUGGUUGACCGGGUCACGCCACACAUUUUUAAAACUAUAUACCCCAAAGAUAAUUGUGGCCAAGUUUGGAUUAAUUUGGCCCAGUAGUUUCAGAG